rnacentral:tmRNA from 1 species
GGGGGCGUACUGGUUUCGACGGGGGUAAGACGUGUUUGAGUAGCGAGUCGAAGGUCUCCUGUACCUGCGUUAAAAAAACGGGAAUUAAAUAUAAACGCAAACGAAAAUAACAAUUUAGCAUUAGCAGCUUAGUCUGCAUGCCGUCAGCCUAAGAGUACCGCGGCUUAGGAUCUGGCGUCGACAGCGGUGAAACGAGCCUGAGUAAGCUUUGCCUCAGGAACGGGAUUUAUGAAGCUAC